UUGGAUUGGUGGCCAAAUACUUUUGGCCAUAUAGUGAAUCAAAAGGACUAAUUCCACAAGUUUGGCCUUUUUUCCCUCAUUUUCUGAGACAACUAUAUAGAAGCGGUCUUGGAAAGUGGUCCACGUGUGGCACGGCUGCAGAGUAUCACGGUGGAAUGCCAGGAUGUAUUCCUCCAAACACCAAUCCUCCCGUAUCAGGUGUCUUUGAAGUUAUGGCCAGCUUGCCUGUCGUCACCCGCCCCCUGAAAACAGUACAGGGAACUUAGUUUCUCGAUGGUGAACCUGUUUUCCUUCCGUUGCCCUGGAUGUCGACUGCCUCCCUCAAUCCUCGACCGCCGUCUGGACACGGACCUUGUCGCCUCUCUCUCUGUCCCACGGACCUCACUUGGAUCACGGACCCCUUUCGCCUAGCCCCCUUUGGAUUUAUCUGCUUCCUCAUCCAACAUCACGGUAACACACAACAGUUAAUUACACACAUAGUUUAACACCACACACACUCUUGGAUUUUGGUCACACACUCAUUCCUUAGUU